rnacentral:lncRNA from 1 species
UGUGAAAUUAUAUCAUUCUGUUAAAUUAAUUGGACGACCGUCAAUUAUUUUUGUACGUGGCAACACAUAGAAAAAAAGAAAUAAAAAUAUUAAUUAUGUGUUAAAAUAAUAAUUAAUAAAAUUGAAACAAAAAUUCUGAUUCAUUUUCUUUAUAAUAUCUUUUCUUUUUCUUUCUCUCUUCUUGUGGCCGGGUCUUGAUUCUUCUCUUCAUCUUCUUUAUUCAUGAGAGUAGACCAUGACAGUAGACCAUGAUAGUGUCCAUUAACAUCUCUUGAUUUCUUUGUUGAAGCCCUGAACAAAUGCAAAACAUAACCUUUAAUUCCUUUUAAAUCUACAUCAAAUUAAUAGGAUGAUGAUGAAGGUAUGAUGAAUGUGGAUUUGUUUCAAUGGUGGUUUUUGUUCAAUUAAUAAACCCAUUAUCCAUACUUCUUGGUUAUUGUAAGGAAUUGGAGAAGUAAGACUGAAAUUAUCAAAGGAAUUCAGGGUAGGAGGGACCUUAAAUUGAGUUAAGAGAGAGCAGUUAGAGUGAAGAAGAAGACGGAAGAGAAUAAAGAGAUAGAACCCUAGAGAGAGAAAGGAAAUAUCACAUUAUCAUUCAUUAAUCUCCAAAUAGAAUUACAACUCAGCUAUAUACCUACAUUAGAAUACCACUAUUACAAUUAUGCCCCCACUAAUUCUUAUAUUUAUUUUCAUAUCCUUACAUAUUCCUUUCAUUCCCUGCUCCUCAAAAACACCCUUGCCCUCAAGGUUGAUCAACAAGGAACUAAGAAAAUGCAAACAAUUACCAACUAAACAGGCCAGCAGAGAAAAAAUAUUAAAAAUUCCAUCGUCUUGAACUCGUUGUCUGAUUUUGUCAUGUUGAUAAAAUCAGUAUGACAAUUGUUGUUGGUUUCAGCACGAAAUUUGACCACAGUGAAGUUGCUCACAUCAUUGUUGAGGAAAAAUUUUCAAACAAGUGGGCAACCCAAAUUGUCUAUAUGCAAUUCCAAAUUAAUAACCAGAAGUUGCAAAGCUUUCUUUAGAGUUUUCUGGCACCAUAAACCAAUCCUAAAAAAUUCCCAUCAAGGGAAUUUGUCAAAACUCCACCAUGAAUACUCCACCACCACGUCUUUCCUUACUUUCUCACAUCGAGCAUAAACUGUAUAGCAAAAGGAGCAACCCAAAGAGCAAAAUGACAAUACAUUUGGUGCUUCCAUGCAAUAUGAUUCCAUUGACGCUUGUCAACAUUAACGUAAAACUGUCUGAUACCCGCAAGAGCAAGCUCAUCACGUUUCACAAGAAUCCUCACAAGCUUAUUCAUGAAUUUCCUUGUAAUUUCAAAAGCUUCAGGAGGCAUGGAGGCAGAGAAAACCCCCACCUGAAUUUUGGUUGGUAGCAACUGAAAAAUAGCACAACAUAUCUGGUCCUUGAAACCUCCCAAAAGUAUUUCAUCAGCUUUGUCCAGCACAAACAAUUUGAUGUAAUCCGAACGAAGUGUUUGCCUCCGCAACAUGUCAUAUGAAGCUUUAUAGUCUAAAACCAUGCACUCAUCUGCUUUUUCAACCAAUUGAUGAACCAGCAAAGUUGCAUUGUAAGGCUCAGCCACAUUAUUAAAUACCAGAAAUCCUUGUAGACAAUCACAAUUCUUGGCUUCUCUCCUCACAACAUCUAGCAUAGAACCAAUGAACUCAGUUCCUUCAAUGUAAUGCCUCUUUGCCUAGUUGUUACCCAUAUCAGAUUGGACAAAAACAAAGUUAUUUAGACAAAAGAUUUGAACCAUUCUCUUAUUUAACUCAAGUUGUGAGUCUAUGUAGUCAAAAAUUUGACUCUCCUGAGCUAGCUUAUAGAACUUGUACAUAUCCUUCACAUAUUCAACAACUACCAAUUUUUCAAAAACAUCUACGAAAUCAACAAUAUGCUCCUUUGGUUUCUUAGUUAACCCACAAAUAACACUCAUUGGAAUUUCGGCCCCACCUCCACUAUCAUUGUACUUUGGCGGAUAUUGAUUAGUUAUAACAUACAAAUAACCAUCCUUCUCGGUAUAACCAAAAUUUAGAACACUCCUAGGCAUUUCAUCAAAUACCUUGCACGCAACCCCAAUUUCUUUUUUAUUUGCAAAAAACAUUCCUACUUCAGUGUUGGUGGACAAGCUAGGAGAUGAAAAGUCAAUGUGAGAAACAGAUAUCACCUUAUCAUGAAUUGAUUCAGCGCAAACUAGGUUGACGAGUGAGAUUGGGUCAUCAAUUUCUGCCAGAAAAUUCCCAUGACCUCCAAUCUCAGGAACAAUCAAAUCAACAUUUUGUUGAAUCUGCAAUUGUGUUUGAUUGCUUUCUUCCUCCUGAAAAUCUAGAUCCACAUCACCUUCAUCAUUAAUGUCUUGAUAUACUGAAUUUAAGGAAUUUGUUGCUUCACAUAAGCAAUCAUCCUCUUCCGUAUAGCCACAAAUAAGCACUUUUUGAUCAUGCUUUGGAAUGGAAGCUCUUAAGUCAUUAAAUUUCUUCAUAACUUGUUUGAACUCUUCAUCCAUAGAACUCUGCAGUCCUUUCAUUAAUUCUCGAAUUUUCUCAAAAUUGUUUUCUAGGGUUGCAGAAUUUUGAUUUUCCGUUGUAUUAUGUCUGGGAUUGAAAUGGCUUUGAUACCAAUUGUAAGGAAUUGGAGAAGUAAGACUGGAAUUAUCAAAGGAAUUCAGGGUAGGAGGGACCUUAAAUUGAGUUAAGAGAGAGCAGUUAGAGUGAGAAGAAAACGGAAGAGAAUAAAGAGAUAGAACCCUAGAGAGAGAAAGGAAAUAUCACAUUAUCAUUCAUUAAUCUCCAAAUAGAAUUACAACUCAACUAUAUACCUACAUUAGAAUACCACUAUUACAAUUAUGCCCCCACUAAUUCUUAUAUUUAUUUUCAUAUCCUUACCUAUUCCUUACAGUUAAUUUGUAUUGAAAGUUAUUUUCAUGCUGAGAAUCUAAUUCUCAGAUUCACAGUAGAUGAGAUUCAUCUCUCAAAUAGAAGCACUUGACCCAAAUCAUCAUUUUUUCAAUUAUAACUCAUGGAAGCACCUAUGAUUAGUCCAUAUCUGCUCCAUUUUUUGCAUUCUUUUGCAAAGUAGAUUACAUAUUAUGAUAGGUCUUGUUGAUCAGAAGAUUUUGACAUUCUUAUUUCAUGCUUUAGAGUAAAAAUAAGAGAGUUAUGUAUCUCAACCCGUUUAAUAAGUGUUUUGGUCAGGUUUUAACCGGCUAGAGGUUGGAUGACAACUUUUUUGAGACUUUUAAAAUAUUUUAUUUUUUAAAAUGUCACUUGCAAACCAACUUUUUUUCCCCUCUGACUUGUCCCUUUUUAUUUUCCAUGUCAUUUCUUUAAAUUUUUGUUUUUCUUUUUACACAGCCAUGAAGGAAAAAGUUAACAUCUGUCCAAUAACUUUAAUGAAAUGGUAUAAUUUCAUAAUUUUUAUAAGUUUAAUCUGAUAAUUACAAAUUUUAAACUUUUAGUGGGCUAUCGCAUAAAAUGUGUCAAGUACAGUGGAUUAAAUGUUAGUUAAUUAAUUCGCAAAUGCAGCGUUUCGGAUCAAACACACCGCACCAAAAAUGGUGUAGUGAGUUUGGUGUGCACCAAAUCCUACCACUGCAAAAGAUGCAAGCGCGAGUAACCAAACAAACUAACGUGUGCGAUCAGCUUAAGGAUAGGUUUGGAACUUGGAAAACUUAAGGGAAAAUGAAAGAACAAGAUUUAUCUUCAUUAAAAUACCUUUUCCCGGCCUUUGUUUUAACCUUUUUCCUAUCUUUUCAUCCAUAGUUUCCAAGUUGCAAACGUACCUUAAAUUGGUAAAACAAAGGCUAGGCUAUGAAAAUAGCAAAUCAAGUUUUUAUAAGGCUUUUAUAAACUAUAAAGACAGCUUUGCAUCCCUUUCUAACAUGGUAGUUUCAAACCAAAAAGUCUUGGCCACUUGUAUCAAACUGAUUAUGCUCUCAUGGGUAAAUGAAGGGCAUUAGCCAAAAGUACAUAAUAUAAGGAUACACGUGCCACUCAUUUAGUCUUUAUAUCUCCGGCUUUCAAAAACUUAGAAUUGUGGAUGCAUUUUGCUUUAUCAUGUAGUAAAUUGAACACAAUUUAUAAAUUACAUAUGUCGACUUAAAAACUUAAAAAUAUUCCUAUGUUACAAUAUCAAAAACAAUUAAAUAGAAUUAAAAUUUUAAAUAGGAAAAGAUUCAGUGGUUCAAUUGUUGUAGGAGACGUGCAUCAUUCGAGUAUAUAGAUCAUGAGAAUUCUGAUAUUAGCUUACUCUUUUGAAAUCAUAACAGGCUUCUGAAUCAAACUUGAGGAGUCAAUCCGGCACAGAGGCUUGAUAGAUCAGCAUCCAAAG